GAGCUUGCUCCCGGAUGUUAGCGGCGGACGGGUGAGUAACACGUGGGUAACCUGCCUGUAAGACUGGGAUAACUCCGGGAAACCGGAGCUAAUACCGGAUAGUUCCUUGAACCGCAUGGUUCAAGGAUGAAAGACGGUUUCGGCUGUCACUUACAGAUGGACCCGCGGCGCAUUAGCUAGUUGGUGGGGUAAUGGCUCACCAAGGCGACGAUGCGUAGCCGACCUGAGAGGGUGAUCGGCCACACUGGGACUGAGACACGGCCCAGACUCCUACGGGAGGCAGCAGUAGGGAAUCUUCCGCAAUGGACGAAAGUCUGACGGAGCAACGCCGCGUGAGUGAUGAAGGUUUUCGGAUCGUAAAGCUCUGUUGUUAGGGAAGAACAAGUGCGAGAGUAACUGCUCGCACCUUGACGGUACCUAACCAGAAAGCCACGGCUAACUACGUGCCAGCAGCCGCGGUAAUACGUAGGUGGCAAGCGUUGUCCGGAAUUAUUGGGCGUAAAGGGCUCGCAGGCGGUUUCUUAAGUCUGAUGUGAAAGCCCCCGGCUCAACCGGGGAGGGUCAUUGGAAACUGGGAAACUUGAGUGCAGAAGAGGAGAGUGGAAUUCCACGUGUAGCGGUGAAAUGCGUAGAGAUGUGGAGGAACACCAGUGGCGAAGGCGACUCUCUGGUCUGUAACUGACGCUGAGGAGCGAAAGCGUGGGGAGCGAACAGGAUUAGAUACCCUGGUAGUCCACGCCGUAAACGAUGAGUGCUAAGUGUUAGGGGGUUUCCGCCCCUUAGUGCUGCAGCUAACGCAUUAAGCACUCCGCCUGGGGAGUACGGUCGCAAGACUGAAACUCAAGGAAUUGACGGGGGCCCGCACAAGCGGUGGAGCAUGUGG
rnacentral:rRNA from 1 species